rnacentral:rRNA from 1 species
GCCUAAAGAGAAGCUUGCGGCUGAUUAGCUUGUUGGUGAGGUAAUAGCUCACCAAGGCGACGAUCAGUAUCUGGUUUGAGAGGACGAUCAGACACACUGGAACUGAGACACGGUCCAGACUCCUACGGGAGGCAGCAGUGGGGAAUUUUCCGCAAUGGGCGAAAGCCUGACGGAGCAAUCUCGCGUGAGGGAUGACUGCCUAUGGGUUGUAAACCUCUUUUUUCAGGGAGGAAUCAAUGACGUGUACCUGAAGAAUAAGCAUCGGCUAACUCCGUGCCAGCAGCCGCGGUAAGACGGAGGAUGCAAGUGUUAUCCGGAAUCACUGGGCGUAAAGCGUCUGUAGGUGGUUUAAUAAGUCAACUGUUAAAUCUUGAAGCUCAACUUCAAAAUCGGAGUCGAAACUAUUAGACUAGAGUAUAGUAGGGGUAAAGGGAAUUUCCAGUGGAGCGGUGAAAUGCGUAGAGAUUG